GACGGAGGGUGCAAGCGUUGUUCGGAAUUACUGGGCGUAAAGCGCGCGCAGGCGGUCUUCUAAGUCCCUUGUGAAAUUCCGGGGCUCAACCCCGGAGAUGCAUGGGAUACUGGUUGACUGGAGAACGGUAGAGGCUAGCGGAAUUCCUGGUGUAGCGGUGGAAUGCGUAGAUAUCAGGAGGAACACCGGUGGCGAAGGCGGCUAGCUGGGCCGAUUCUGACGCUCAUGUGCGAAAGCGUGGGGAGCAAACAGG
rnacentral:rRNA from 1 species